AUUGAACGCUGGCGGCAGGCCUAACACAUGCAAGUCGAGCGGCAGCACAAGGGAGUUUACUCCUGAGGUGGCGAGCGGCGGACGGGUGAGUAAUGCCUAGGGAUCUGCCCAGUCGAGGGGGAUAACAGUUGGAAACGACUGCUAAUACCGCAUACGCCCUACGGGGGAAAGGAGGGGACCUUCGGGCCUUCCGCGAUUGGAUGAACCUAGGUGGGAUUAGCUAGUUGGUGAGGUAAUGGCUCACCAAGGCGACGAUCCCUAGCUGUUCUGAGAGGAUGAUCAGCCACACUGGGACUGAGACACGGCCCAGACUCCUACGGGAGGCAGCAGUGGGGAAUAUUGCACAAUGGGGGAAACCCUGAUGCAGCCAUGCCGCGUGUGUGAAGAAGGCCUUCGGGUUGUAAAGCACUUUCAGUAGGGAGGAAAGGGUGUAGUUUAAUACGCUAUAUCUGUGACGUUACCUACAGAAGAAGGACCGGCUAACUCCGUG
rnacentral:rRNA from 1 species